GCAGAAGCUUUUAUUGAAAGCUGAGAAUAUUCUUCUUUAUUUCCAGAUCACAGGAUAUAGUGGGGUCGAGAGAAAUCCUGAAAUCUGACUCUCAGGCACGCAGCAUGUGGCAGAAUUGAACUCACAUCCCGGCCAGUACCUGGACUCUGCUCCAACUGACUGAGACAAUCUCUGGGUCACAGGGAGAAAUGAGCAGGAUAAGUCCUGAGGCUUCCCUUGCUGCAUGACCAGAGCUCUUCUGGAGAGUGGCAGGGGGCAUUUCCUGCAGGUGAGUGUUGCCAAAAUGAAGCAGCUGCUGAAGCUGGGGCUGCUUUUGAGGCUCAGAGCUGCACAGAGGCCUCGGUGGCUCCUGCUCGCUGCCAGCAAUGCUCCUGGGUGUUCCUGUGUGUCCCAGCUGCAGGGAAUGGGGCAGGAGGAGGCCAGGAGCCCCUGGAAGGUACCAGCCCCUCCUGUCCCUGGGCUCUCAGGGAGGCCUGUGCCUGCAGUGUCCUGCCUGUGCCAGGCACACGGCCCGGGAUGGGCGCUGGGUGCCCGGCGGGCGCUGGCACGGACACGGCUCAGGGGCUGCUCUGAACAGGCUCCUGGAGAUGCUUCAGCCUGGACACAGCCACUGACAGCCCAAAGGCACCCCAAGGAGCAGCUGGCACUGCCUGGUGAUGGCAGCACAGGCUGCGUGCAGAGGGGCUCAGACAGCAAUUGCUGGUUCCAGCCUCCCAGAGCUCCCAGGCAGCUGCCAGCUAUCAAAUGCCAACCGACAGCCUGCAGAGAUGCCUUCAAAUCAAAGGUUCAGGUGGGAUGAAGCUUUGUUUGGACAAUGGUGGGAGUUUCCAGGGAGCCAGCUGGAAGUGCAGAAGGGAUGGAAAGCUUUCCCAGGUGCUGGACUUGCCUCUGUGGAUGUGCGCUGAGCUCUCACUACAGGGGACUGUGAGGCCUGACUGGCUGUGAGUUUGUGUUCUUCUCACAGGAGAAUCAGAAAUGAUCAUUAAUUAGACCACAGAAAUCUUUUCUGAAACCUUUCCCCUUUCCUGCCCUUUGCUGGUAAGUCUUUUCUUUCUGCCUUUAACUCUACAGCUGUUCCCUGAUGUCAUUGCCCCUGUCUCACUUCUGUGCAGCUCCUAGCUGGGGAAAACUCAUAGUAGAGCUUGUAACAAGUAAGCACUUGUUUCUACAC